UACGGAGGGUGCAAGCGUUAUCCGGAUUUACUGGGUUUAAAGGGUGCGUAGGCGGAUUGGUAAGUCAGUGGUGAAAUACUUUCGCUUAACGAAGGAACUGCCAUUGAUACUAUCAAUCUUGAAUGUAGUGGAGGUAGGCGGAAUGCGUCAUGUAGCGGUGAAAUGCUUAGAUAUGACGCAGAACACCAAUUGCGAAGGCAGCUUGCUACACUACUAUUGACACUGAGGCACGAAAGCGUGGGGAUCAAACAGG
rnacentral:rRNA from 1 species